rnacentral:rRNA from 1 species
CAAGUCGAACGGAGAAGUAAUUUUUGUAGCAAUACAAGUAAAGUUUUUUUUAGUGGCGAACGGGUGAAGUAAUAUAUAGGAACUUACUCAAUAGUGGGGGAUAACAGUUGGAAACGACUGCUAAUACCGCAUAUUCCGAGAGGGGAAAGGUAUUUAUAUCGCUAUCGAAGAGGCUUAUAUCUGAUUAGCUAGUUGGUGAGAUAACUGCUUACCAAGGCAAUGAUCAGUAGCCGGUCUGAGAGGAUGAUCGGCCACAUUGGGACUGAGAUACGGCCCAAACUCCUACGGGAGGCAGCAGUAGGGAAUAUUGGACAAUGGACGAAAGUCUGAUACAGCAAUGCCGCGUGAGUGAUGAAGGUGUUAUGCAUCGUAAAGCUCUUUUAACAGGGAAGAUAAUGACAGUACCUGUAGAAUAAGCACCGACUAACUAUGUG